AGCUGAGCUUGUGCCGUCCAUAGCUGCCGUCAUCUUCCCUGAGACACUGCGCGUCAAGACACCCGUGGAGACACCCUUCCGACUAUCAGCUGAGCUUGUGCCGUCCAUAGCUGCGGUCGACUCCCGUGAGACACUCCGCGUCAACACACCCGCGGAGACACCCUUCCGACUAUCAGCUGAGCUUGUGCCAUCCAUAGCUGCCGUCAUCUUCCCUGAGACACUGGGCGCCAAGACACCCGUGGAGACACCCUUCCGACUAUCAGCUGAGCUUGUGCCGUCCAUAGCUGCCGUCGACUCUCCUGAGACACUGGGCAUCAAAACACCAGUGGAGACACCCUUCCGACUAUCAGCUGAGCUUGUGCCGUCCAUAGCUGCCGUCAACUCCCCUGAGACACUGGGCGUCAAGACACCCGUGGAGACACCCUUCCGACUAUCAGGUACUAUUUAACUCACUAAAACACUAGCAACACAAUAUAAAGAUAAAGCAUUUCCCAGAAUUAUACUAGUAAAUGUGUCUAAAAACAUCAGAAUUUUUUUUUUUUCUAGUCCGUCGCUAUCAAUAUCCUCAAACACGAAUCUUUCAUCCUCACUCAAAUGAAUGGGGAAAUUGUCAUUUUCUCGGUCCGAAUAGCACCUUUUGUUGGAGGCUCCUAUUAAAAACAAUGUGAAUAUGUGAGGAGCCAUCAAACAUGUGACGUCAUCGUCUGCGACUUCCGGUACAAGCAAGGCUUUUCUCUUAGCACCGAAAGUUGCAAACUUUAUCGUGGAUGUUCUCUACUAAAUCCUUUCAGCAAAAAUAUGGCAAUAUUGCACAAUGAUCAAGUAUGACACAUAGAAUGGACCUGCUAUCCCCGUUUGAAUAAGAAAAUCUCAUUUCAGUAGGCCUUUAAAUGUUGGCUCUAAAAACCCCAGAACACAAACAUUCACCAUCCAUCCAUCCAUCCAUCUUCUUCCGCUUAUCCGAGGUCGGGUCGCGGGGGCAGCAGCCUAAGCAAGGAAGCCCAGACUUCCCUCUCCCCAGCCACUUCGUCUAGCUCUUCCCGGGGGAUCCCGAGGCGUUCCCAGGCUAGCCGGGAGACAUAGUCUUCCCAACGUGUCCUGGGUCUUCCCCGUGGCCUCCUGCCGGUUGGACGUGCCCUAAACACCUCCCUAGGGAUCCUGACCAGAUGCUUGAACCACCUCAUCUGGCUCCUCUCGAUGUGAAGGAGCAGCGGCUUUACUUUGAGUUCCUCCCGGAUGGCAGAGCUUCUCACCCUAUCUCUAAGGGAGAGACCUGGAAACUCAUUUUGGCCGCUUGUACCCGUGAUCUUAUCCUUUCAGUCAUGACCCAAAGCUCAUGACCGUAGGUGAGGAUGGGAACGUAGAUCGACCGGUAAAUUGAGAGCUUUGCCUUCCGGCUCAGCUCCUUCUUCACCACAACGGAUCGAUACAGCGUCCGCAUUACUGAAGACGCCGCACCGACCCGCCUGUCGAUCUCACGAUCCACUCUUCCCUCACUCGAGAACAAGACUCCUAGGUACUUGAACUCCUCCACUUGGGGCAGGGUCUCCUCCCCAACCCGGAGAUUGCACUCCACCCUUUUCCGGGCGAGAACCAUGGACUCGGAUUUGGAGGUGCUGAUUCUCAAUCCCUGAGGUACUCAUCUGUGAAGUGACAAACAUUCAAAUUUUUAUAAUUUGCUCAGACUCUGCCAUUUUUCCACUUAUUGGAAAUCUAAGAAUGGCGGAACGUUCCCCAAAGCCUUGAGGAGAUCACAGUGUUUAUGGAAAGUCAGCAUCAGACUUUGUGCCAUCUUUAAAGUACUUCGGCUUCCAGUGAUCCCCCAGGGCACAGAUAGCAGGCCCAUCAAACUUUCUGUUGGAAUUGUCUAGUCCACUUUUAUACUUUUUCAUAAGAGUGGUUUUAUACAGUUUUGUUAUUUUUAAAUAAUACAAUUUUAAAUGGUUCCAUAGAUGAAGUCCUUUAUAUGAUGUUACAUGAUGUGACAGUUUGACCCCACACUGUCACUGUUUGACCUUUGGCUUCCUCUCAAACCAUGCACAUUUUUUUUUAGUCAGUGGAAAACAUGCUCAACAAACAAAUUGUAAGCUGUCACUCACCAUGGCUCUGCAUGUCUGGCUAAAAGAGUCAGGGUGGGGCUGUUGGCUUUAUGUAGCUGAGCACACCUGCUUUGACUAAUUAGGCCUAAUUUGGGCCAAACCAUGAUUGUCAGGAGCUGGGUGUUGCUGAGGGACAUUUGAAAGUUGUGUUGUUUAAACCUGAAUACACUGUGGACAAAAGUGACUGCUUUAAAAAUGCAAAAGUACUAUAUGAAUACUUUUUAGACAUCUGAUGGUUAUUUACGGUUACAUUUAUAAAAAGAAGUGUUUUCUUAAUUUCCCCUGUCAAAUUGGUCCCAGCUAGUGGGCGGGGCUUUGGACUAUUUAAGUGGGGAAAAUGCCAUUUUUCUGCCAGUCUGCUGCCUGUCACUGCCAGACGAGGUUCUCUGUCCUGACCAAGAGUUUCGGUCGUCAUACGUCAAACAACUACUGAGGUGGUUAUUUUGAUGAUGAGAUUAUGUUGUGAUGUAACCGGUUAAAUUGAUUUUGUUAAUUGCUCAUUUAUUUAGCUAAAUCUGUUUUGUCAUUUAAUUCUUUACUUUGAUAUAGUUGAUGUUUCACCUUUUGAUUGUAAAUAUAUGUAUUUUGAUAUAAUGGAUGAUUUAUAUUUUGAUUAUUUUUAAUAUGCUUAUGUUGAUUAAUUAUGUAUAGGCCUAUUUAACACACGGAACUUUGAAAUAUAUUUAGAAUAUAAAUGUAAUAUAAUACACGAUACUAAUAUUGUCUUUAUUUAUUACUGUUACAGAUUGUUGGUGCUUUGUCUUCCUGUUUUGUUCACCUUUUGACACUUUUUGGGAUUUUAAAUAAAUGUUUGUAAACUGUUGCCAACUGCGUGCCUUGCCAUCCUUGAUUUGAAGUCUGGUUUGCAAAGGUUACAUUACCUUCACCCGAGGCGGGGUGUGACAUAUUUGUUUUACAUGUGUUCAUACCUUUGCUUUUGAGUACACAUAAAUCCCUCUUAGUUCAUAUUUACUGGUUCACAUCUGAAACAUCUUCUGGACCACUUCUGGAAGCAUAUUAUUAUUUACUUUAUACAUCAUUUGAACAGUUGUCUUUUAUACAAGAUCAUUUACUUUUGAAAUGUGUGACUUUAUGAAUCAUUUGUUGGGUCUCUAUAAUCCAUUCUAUUAAUUAUAUUUAUUACUUUCUUUUGUAGUAUGAAUAUUGUUUUGUGAUUGAUGUAUACGUAUGUCCCCAGAACUUUACGCAAUAAACAAUGUGUGACAGUCUUGAGCCGUCAUCGCUCGGGUUCAUUGGACCACCCAGGAAGGACAUUGCUUUUAGCAGGUUUGACUUAUUUUUCAAUAAGGCAGCUGUCUUUUGCGACAUCAUGGCUCCCACUGCUCGCUCUUUUGUGUCUCGCUCUUGCGUCUCCGUCACUCGUGUCUUGCAA